AAAAAGGAAACAGAGAACAUUGCUCCUAUGCAUGUUUCCAAAGGACUUCUGGGAGGACGUUUAUUGGAGCAUUUUGCAUAUAAUAGGCACUCACUCAGUGGGUUGAAUGAAUCAAUAUAUUAACAAAGAAACAAAUAAAUGAAUGAAGAGAAGAAUGAAAACUCAUAAAGAGCCAGUUUCCUUUAUUCAUCUGAAAAUUUGGUUAUUUGCAAAUGUAAUUCACUUAAGACGAGUUCAUCAGGGUGGACCCUAAUCCAAUAUGACUGGUGUCCUUAUAAUAAGAGAAGACAGAAAUACACAGGGAGCGUGCCGUGUGACAACAGAGGCAGACACUGAACUGAUGUUAUUGCAAGCUGAGGAACAUAAAGGAUUGCCGGCAACACCAGAAGCUAGGAUGACUCAAGGAAUGACCCUCCUCUAGAACCUUCAGAGAAAGCACGGCCCUACUGACAACUUAACUUUGGACUUCCAAUCUCUAGAACUGUAAGAUAAUAAAUACCUGUUGUUUUAAGCCACCAAAGUUUGUGGCACAUUUUCUUGUUAUAGCAGCCCUAGGAAACAGAGCUAUCCAUAUUUGUAUAGAUUGUAUGAUACAGUUGCACAGCUUCCAGUGACCGCCAUUAUAGAAGCUAGGAAGAGUCAAGGAAGAGAGUUCUGUCAGAGACUCAGAGGGAGCUGAGUAGCCAGACCAGGCUGACAUCUUGAUUUCAAAGUUUUAGCCUCCAGAAAGAACACAUUUUUUUUUGUUUGAAGCACCCAGUUUGUCGUACUUUGUAAUAGCAGGUCUGGGAGACUACCAUGGAUGGUAUCCCUUCCAAUGACUCCAUCAUGAUAUUAUCACUGAGCAUUUCCCAUACGGUGUCCAGGAAUUAUGUGCAUACAACCCACCACAAGUGAGAAAGUAGUCAUUUCCCAGCUUUGCCACUGGGCUCUGUUUUCAAGGAUGAGUCAGGUAGCAGCCCACUGUGUGUCCCAGACUGCAGGGGACACAUUUUCCCUCACUGGGGCAGGAGGAGGAACUGACAUUGAGCCAACACCCUUUUAUUUCUAACAGCUUCAACCCUUUCAUAGCUUCUCGUUGGCAUUAGGCUGUAUGGAUAAGAGGCCUCUAUUGCAGGAUCUGCACAAGUCAUUCAGUGCCUCACUUUGGAGAUUGGAAAUACUGCACCUGUUCUUUUAGUUUCUGACUUUUGGAGCUUUUGAGAAAACUGAAACAGAAAUUGUCCCAUUUCGAUAUUCUGAUUUAAACCUAAAUUAAUUUCUGCCAGAUUUUCAGGUUUAUUGAUAUUAAGUUGCACAGAGUGUUUUUUAAAGUUUAAAAAAUCUUCUUUGGAUAUAUUUGGUUUUUUUCUCUCACAUGUUUUCUUAAUCAAACUUGCUGACCUUUGUUUUGUAUUCUGUACUAGUCUCUAAAAAAAGAAUCAUCUUUCUAUUUUACUGAUAAUUCUACCAAUAUAUUUGUUAUCAAUUUUACUAUUUUUCCUUUUAAUAUUUAUUACUUUCUAUCAUCUCUCUGGUUUAUUUCAUUGCUUAGCUUCUAGAGUUGAAUACUUCUUUGGUUUUUAUGCAAAAUUUUUUUCUAAUAAAUGCAUUUUUUUUCCCUUGGGUAUCAGCUUGGCCAUGUAGGAGACAUGCCCAGCCAGCGUUCAUCUGCCUGCCUCACCUUUUCCUCUUUUCUACUUGCUGUAUGGAACUUACAUCUGGUUAGGAAUCGGUCCCACUACAUUAGAUACAUAGGGCUGUCAUGCCAGUUUUCUAUAUGGUAUUUUUAAAAAUUCUGCCUUGUUUCUUCUUUGAUCCAAAAUUUAUUUAGAAGACCUUAGUCUUCUAAAUAUCUGCUGAUGCUUUGGAAUGGUUGCUGGCCUUUUGUUGUUAGCUUUUGGGUUACUGACCCUUUGAUGUUAAAUUUGAAUUUUCAUUGGAUUUUAAUUUACUGGAUUUUAAUAAAAUUUUAUUAUAUUUCAAUAAGUUAAAAGGGUCUGCAUGAGUUGUGCUUUGAAAAUUUGUCACCAUUUAAAAAAAUUUCCCAAUAUAUUGUAAAUUUGUGAAUGUUCCAUCUGUUUGAAAAUAACAUGUAUUCUGUUCCUUGGAUACAAAGUUCUACCACAAUUUAUAGAUCAAGCAAUUGAAUUAUGCAUCCUAAAUUCUCAAUAUCUUUAAUUUGUUAAUUAAUAUUUAAAGAUACACUUGUUGAAGUUUCUCAUUGUGAUUAUGAAAUUGUUUAUUUUUCUUUUAAUAAGAUUUUUAUUUCAAAAUUAAGUUGUUAGGAGCACAAAUAUUCAUGAUAAUAGUAAAGUUUUAAUGGAGUUAACAUUUUAUUAAUAUGAAAUAUCCAUCUUUGUCCCCUUUCAGUAGUUUUUAUCCUGAAUUCUACUUUAUCUCAUUUUAAUGUCCCUAUAUAUGCUCUCCUUUUGUUAGCCUUUGCUUUCAAUACCUUUUUGCCUUCUUUUAUUUUUAACCUCCCUAUGUUGUGUCAUUGUAUUUGGAUUUCUGAAAAAUAACAAAUGGCUGUAACAUUUCUCCAGUAGGAGAAUCUUUGUCUUUUAAUAUAUACAUUUAACCCAGGAAAAUGUAUCAUGAUUACUGAUAAAAUUGACUAUGUUCUCAGAACCAUAGUUCGUAGUUUAUCUUUUAUAUGCUUUCUUGCCGUCUCUUUUCCUUAACUGCUUAUGUGAUUAAGUUAUUUGUUCCUUUUUUUCCUCCAAAUGAUUUGGGAGUAAGGCAUCCUAAUUCUCAGUGGUUAACCUCAAGUCUUUAAUAAGUAUGCUUAAAUAUAUACAGAAAAUCAAAUCAAAACCACAAUGAGAUACCUACCAUCUCGCAUCAGUUAGAGUGACUAUUACUAAAAAGUCAAAAAAUAACAGAUGCUGGUGAGGUUGCAGAGAAAAAGCAACCCUUAUACACGGUUAGUGGGAGUGUGAAUCAGUUUAACCAUUGUGGAAGACAGUGGGGCGAUUCUUCAAAGACCUAAAAACAGAAAUACCAUUUGACUCAGCAAUCCCAUUACUGGGUAUAUAUAUACCCAAAGAAAUAUAAAUCUUCUAUCAUAAAGACACAUGCAUGAGUAUGUUCAUUGCAGCACUAUUCACAACAGUAAAGACAUGGAAUCUACCUAAAUGCCCACAAUGGUAGACUGGAUAAAGAAAAUGUGGUACAUAUAUACCAUGGAAUACUAGGCAGCCAUUAAAAAAGACUGAGAUCAUGUCAUUUGUAGGAACAUAGAUGGAUCUGGAGGCCACUAUCCUUAGCAAACUAACACAGGAACAGAAAACCAAAUACCACAUGUUCUCACUUAUAAGUGGGAGCUAAACAAUGAGAACACAUGGACAUAUAGAGCAGAAAAACAGACACUGGGACCUAUUGGAGGGUGGAGGUUGAGAGGUGGGAGAGGAUCAGGAAAAAUAACUAGUGGGUACUAGGCUUAAUACCUCAGUAAUAAAAUAAUCUGUUCAACAAACCCUCAUGACAUGAGUUUACCUAUGUAACAAACCUGCGCAUGUACCCCUGAACU
rnacentral:lncRNA from 10 species